rnacentral:rRNA from 1 species
CGUAGGGUGCGAGCGUUAAUCGGAAUUACUGGGCGUAAAGCGUGCGCAGGCGGUUUUGAAAGUCAGAUGUGAAAUCCCCGAGCUCAACUUGGGAACUGCGUUUGAAACUCCAAAGCUAGAGUAUAGGAGAGGGGGUAGAAUUCCACGUGUAGCAGUGAAAUGCGUAGAGAUGUGGAGGAAUACCAAUGGCGAAGGCAGCCCCCUGGCUAAUACUGACGCUCAUGCACGAAAGCGUGGGGGAGCAAACAGGAUU